rnacentral:misc_RNA from 1 species
AACUUUCAACAACGGAUCUCUUGGUUCUCGCAUCGAUGAAGAACGCAGCGAAACGCGAUAGGUAAUGUGAAUUGCAGAAUUCAGUGAAUCAUCGAAUCUUUGAACGCACAUUGCGCCUCUUGGUAUUCCGAGGGGCAUGUCUGUUUGAGCGUCAGUACCCACUCCAUCUUCAGGUGUUUUUGCGAACGCCUGGAGAAGGGUCUUGAGGGACGAGGAGCAAUCCUCCCCCCUCUAACGUGGCACGCUUGCGAACCCUCCUAACCGAUCACGACGUAGUAAACAUUCUCGCCGGACGAAAGGUAGAAGGGCCGCCUUGAAUUCAAACUUUGUAGUUUGACCUCAGAUCAGACAAGGAUACCCGCUGAACUUAAGCAUAUCAAUAAGCGGAGGCU